CUGUCUUUAUGCAUGUACUGUCACUUUGAAUGAAAAACACUAGAUGUUUUUAUUUUUUGAUAUGUAAAUUUUAUGAAUUAACUUGUAAGCAAUAUACAAUAAUACUAUCCCCCUUUCUCCCUUCAUUUUUUCGUUUAUAUAUCGCUCAAAUUGAGCAUCUGGCUUGUAAAUAGGAAUGGACUUGGUUGAAGGAAGGGCAUUUUGCCCAACUUAAAAAUGGACGAUAUGGAACUGUGAG